rnacentral:rRNA from 1 species
GAUGAACGCUGGCGGCGUGCUUAACACAUGCAAGUCGAACGAAGCAUUUGCGACAGAUUUUUUCGGAAUGAAGUUGCUUAUGACUGAGUGGCGGACGGGUGAGUAACGCGUGGGUAACCUGCCUUGUACUGGGGGAUAGCAGCUGGAAACGGCUGGUAAUACCGCAUAAGCGCACAAUGUUGCAUGACAUGGUGUGAAAAACUCCGGUGGUAUAAGAUGGACCCGCGUCUGAUUAGCUAGUUGGUGAGAUAACAGCCCACCAAGGCGACGAUCAGUAGCCGACCUGAGAGUGUGACCGGCCACAUUGGGACUGAGACACGGCACAGACUCAUACGGGAAGCAGCAGUGGGGAAUAUUGCACAAUGGAGGAAACUCUGAUGCAGCGACGCCGCGUGAGUGAAGAAGUAAUUCGUUAUGUAAAGCUCUAUCAGCAGGGAAGAUAGUGACGGUACCUGACUAAGAAGCGCCGGCUAAAUACGUG